rnacentral:rRNA from 1 species
UACGUAGGGGGCAAACGUGUUCCGGAUUCAUUGGGCGUAAAGAGCGUGUAGGCGGCCAGGUAGGUCGGUUGUGAAAACUGGAGGCUCAACCUUCAGAGGUCGACCGAAACCAUCUGGCUAGAGUCCGGGAGAGGAGAGUGGAAUUCCUGGUGUAGCGGUGAAAUGCGCAGAUAUCAGGAAGAACACCCGUGGCGAAAGCGGCUCUCUGGAACGGUACUGACGCUGAGACGCGAAAGCGUGGGGAGCGAACAGG